GACGAACGCUGGCGGCGUGCUUAACACAUGCAAGUCGAACGAUGAAGCCGGAGCUUGCUCUGGUGAAUUAGUGGCGAACGGGUGAGUAACACGUGAGUAACCUGCCCUUGACUCUGGGAUAACUGCUAGAAAUGGUAGCUAAUACCGGAUACGACCCUCGGAGGCAUCUCCAGGGGGUGGAAAGAAUUUCGGUCAAGGAUGGACUCGCGGCCUAUCAGCUAGUUGGUGAGGUAACGGUUCACCAAGGCGACGACGGGUAGCCGGCCUGAGAGAGUGACCGGCCACACUGGGACUGAGACACGGCCCAGACUCCUACGGGAGGCAGCAGUGGGGAAUAUUGCACAAUGGGCGCAAGCCUGAUGCAGCAACGCCGCGUGAGGGAUGACGGCCUUCGGGUUGUAAACCUCUUUUAGUAGGGAAGAAGCGAAAGUGACGGUACCUGCAGAAAAAGCACCGGCUAACUACGUGCCAGCAGCCGCCGUAA
rnacentral:rRNA from 1 species